rnacentral:rRNA from 1 species
AGAGGUAUAGGAUGAGUUCGCGUCUGAUUAGCUAGUUGGUAAGGUAAUGGCUUACCAAGGCGACGAUCAGUAGCCGGCCUGAGAGGGUGAACGGCCACACUGGAACUGAGACACGGUCCAGACUCCUACGGGAGGCAGCAGUGGGGAAUAUUGCACAAUGGGGGAAACCCUGAUGCAGCGACGCCGCGUGAGUGAAGAAGGUCUUCGGAUCGUAAAACUCUGUCCUUGGUGAAGAAAAAAAUGACGGUAGCCAAGGAGGAAGCCCCGGCUAACUACGUGCCAGCAGCCGCGGUAAUACGUAGGGGGCGAGCGUUGUCCGGAUUUACUGGGCGUAAAGGGUGAGUAGGCGGUAAUAUGUGUCAGAUGUAAAAGGCGUAGGCUCAACCUAUGUUAGCAUCUGAAACUGUAUUACUUGAGUGCAGGAGAGGUAAGUGGAAUUCCUAGUGUAGCGGUGAAAUGCGUGGAUAUUAGGAGGAACACCAGUGGCGAAGGCGACUUACUGGACUGUAACUGACGCUGAGUCACGAAAGCGUGGGUAGCAAACAGGAUUAGAUACCCUGGUAGUCCACGCUGUAAACGAUGAGUGCUAGGUGUUGGGUAGCGAUAUUCAGUGCCGAAG